rnacentral:rRNA from 1 species
GAGUUUGAUCCUGGCUCAGAAUGAACGCUGGCGGCGUGCUUAACACAUGCAAGUCGCACGAGAACGCUUCAGCUUGCUGGAGCUAGUAAAGUGGCGCACGGGUGAGUAACGCGUGGGUAAUCUACCUCCGAAUUGGGGAUAACACUGCGAAAGCGGUGCUAAUACCGAAUGACAUCCCCGGGACUUUGGUUUCGGGGAUCAAAGGUGGCCUCUACAUGUAAGCUACCGUUUGGAGAUGAGCCCGCGUACCAUUAGCUAGUUGGUAGGGUAAUGGCCUACCAAGGCUGCGAUGGUUAGCUGGUCUGAGAGGAUGAUCAGCCACACUGGAACUGACACACGGUCCAGACUCCUACGGGAGGCAGCAGUGAGGAAUUUUGCGCAAUGGGGGAAACCCUGACGCAGCAACGCCGCGUGAGUGAUGAAGGCUUUCGGGUCGUAAAGCUCUGUCAAGUGGGAAGAAUAUGCCCUAUGCUAAUACCAUGGGGCACUGACGGUACCACUGAAGGAAGCACCGGCUAACUCCGUGCCAGCAGCCGCGGUAAUACGGGGGGUGCAAGCGUUAUUCGGAAUCAUUGGGCGUAAAGGGCGCGUAGGCGGCCCCUUAAGUCAGAUGUGAAAGCCCUCAGCUUAACUGAGGAAGUGCAUUUGAAACUGAGGGGCUUGAGUAUGG